rnacentral:rRNA from 1 species
UACAGAGGGUGCGAGCGUUAAUCGGAAUUACUGGGCGUAAAGCGCACGUAGGCGGCUUGGUAUGUCGGGUGUGAAAUCCCCCGGGCUCAACCUGGGAACUGCAUCCGAAACUGCCUUGCUCGAGUAUGGGAGAGGGAAGUGGAAUUUCCGGUGUAGCGGUGAAAUGCGUAGAUAUCGGAAGGAACAUCAGUGGCGAAGGCGACUUCCUGGACCAAUACUGACGCUCAGGUGCGAAAGCGUGGGGAGCAAACAGG